rnacentral:rRNA from 1 species
UACAGAGGUCCCAAGCGUUGUUCGGAUUCAUUGGGCGUAAAGGGUGCGUAGGCGGCGCGGGAAGUCGGGUGUGAAAUCUCGGAGCUUAACUCCGAAACUGCAUUCGAUACUGCCGUGCUUGAGGACUGGAGAGGAGACUGGAAUUUACGGUGUAGCGGUGAAAUGCGUAGAUAUCGUAAGGAAGACCAGUGGCGAAGGCGGGUCUCUGGGACGGUACUGACGCUGAGACGCGAAAGCGUGGGGAGCGAACAGG